GCAGCUGUGGUUCAAGGUGCUGAAGAAAUGCCAAAGGACAAGCUAAUGCUGCAUGUUGCUAGCCACCUGCUGCAGGAUACUUCACCCAUUUGGAGAACCGUGCAUAGAACACUACCACCUUCAGUCAGCAGGAUGUGUCUGAUACGAGAGCUGCUACCUGCCACCUGAUGUGUCUCACCCUGGGAGACAGGACGAUGAAGUAAUGGAGCCUGGCUGUCUGCAGCCAGGGCUGCUGUACUACAUCCAAAGCAAGCUUGAAGUCAGCAAGUGCUGCAUUAAUCUUUCUGGGAGUGUUUGUUUUGCUUGUUUUGUUAGGCUACAUUUCAAGCAACUGAUAAUGUGUUCGUGAGCAGUUCUCCUGUUGCAGCCCAUUUUUCAAAGGAAGUGUGAAGACCGAUGCUCCAAAGUAACAUUUCUACCCUGAAGUCAAAUCAUCUGCUUAGCAUCUUGCUCUGGAAGGACCCACAACUGCAGCUCUGGCACACAGAGAACAGGACGCCUAAAUGGGGAAUGCUGGUGCUCAUCCACUCCUGCUGCGUGAAUGAACACUGUGAGAAUUCCCUUGACACAGGAAAGUGUUGUGGUAUCAGACUCAACAUUAAUUGGUGUGGUAACAGGAGGGUUCCUCCAGGCUCAAGAAACAUUAUAAAACCCCCCUUCUCC
rnacentral:lncRNA from 1 species